rnacentral:rRNA from 1 species
GACGAACGCUGGCGGCGUGCUUAACACAUGCAAGUCGAACGGAAAGGCCCUGCUUUUGUGGGGUGCUCGAGUGGCGAACGGGUGAGUAACACGUGAGUAACCUGCCCUUGACUUUGGGAUAACUUCAGGAAACUGGGGCUAAUACCGGAUAGGAGCUCCUGCUGCAUGGUGGGGGUUGGAAAGUUUCGGCGGUUGUGGAUGGACUCGCGGCUUAUCAGCUUGUUGGUGGGGUAGUGGCUUACCAAGGCUUUGACGGGUAGCCGGCCUGAGAGGGUGACCGGCCACAUUGGGACUGAGAUACGGCGCAGACUCCUACGGGCGGCAGCAGUGGGGAACAUUGCACAAUGGGCGGAAGCCUGAUGCAGCAACGCCGCGUGCGGGAUGACGGCUUUCGGGUUGUAAACCGCUUUCGCCUGUGACGAAGCGUGAGUGACGGUAAUGGGUAAAGAAGCACCGGCUAACUACGUG